rnacentral:rRNA from 1 species
AAGAAUGAGCCAACGAGUUUGUGUAUGUUGCAAGUUUAAUUCCGCUGAGCGGAAGAAGGCGUAGGGAAACCAAGUCUUAAUAGGGCGAUAUUCCUAUUAUAUCGAUAUUCCGUUUAUCCAUAAGGUAAACUGGCAUAUCGAUAUAGUAGGACAAGCAGCAUGCUCAAAGCACGAAACCGUGUGAGCUAGCCAUGGCCAGGGUGAACUUCGCCGAAAAACGAAGGGAGGCCCGAACCCACCAGUUGUGCAAAACUGGGGGAUGAGCUGUGGCUAGGGGAGAAAUUCCAAUCGAACUCGGUAAUAGCUUGUUUUCCUCGAAAUAGUUUUAGGACUAGCCUCUCUGUGAUACCCGGGGGUAGAGCACUGAAUGGGAACGGGUGGAGCAAUCCUACCGUUCCCAACCAAACUCCGAAUACCGGUCAUAUUAUACAGGGGGAGUAAGACUAUGGGCGCUAAGGUCCAUCAGUCAAAAGGGGAACAGCCCAGACCGCCAUCUAAGGUCCCUAAAUUCACGCUAAGUGUAAAAGGUGGUAUAUCGACUUAAACAACCAGGAGGUUGGCUUAGAGGCAGCCAUCCUUUAAAGAAAGCGUAAUAGCUCACUGGUCGAGUUGAUAUGCGCCGAAAAUAUACCGGGGCUAAGCGUGGUACCGAAGGUGCGGAUUCCUAUCUUUAUUGAUAGGGAUGGUAGAGGAACGUUCUGAAUUGCGUUGAAGCCGUUUCGUGAGGAACGGUGGAGUAUUCAGAAGCGCGAAUGUUGGCAUAAGUAGCAAAAAUUGAGAUGAGAACUCUCAACAUCGAAAAUCCAAGGUUUCCUGGGCAACGCAAAUCGACCCAGGGUUAGUCGAUCCUAAGGCCAGUCCCUGCGUAUGUGGGGGGUAACCGAUGGACACCAGGUUAAUAUUCCUGGACUACUGUGAUAUUUUGAGCGGGGACAUUUUUUCAAGUUCUAAGCGUAUUUUGGCUAUGUGCGUCCAAUCCCGGUGCUGAACCGGGAGAGUGCAAGCGAGGGGUAACACCCUUGCGAGUUAGGAGGAGAAAGAAUCAAGAAAAGCCGUACUCAAGUUAAUUUCAUAGUAUUCGUACCGCAAACCGACACAGGUGGAUGAGCUGAGUAUGCUCAGAUGUACGGGAGAACCCUUGUUCAGGAACUCGGCAAAAAAGCUAGGCGUAACUUCGGGAUAUGCCUCCCCCUAUUCGUAGGGGCGCAGCGAACGUUUAUUUUGUGACUGUUUAUCAAAAACAUAGGUCUCUGCAAAACCGUAAGGUGAUGUAUAGGGGCUGAUGCCUGGCCAGUGUCAGAACGUUAAAGGGAUGAGUUAACCGGAUUUAUCCGGAAGGCUUUGAACUGAAGCGCUGAUGAACGCCGGCCGUAACUAUAACGGUCCUAAGGUAGCGAAAUUCCUUGUCGGGUGAGUUCCGACCUGCACGAAUGGCAUAACAACAGAAUAACUGUCUUAACAAGGGACCCGGCGAAAUUGCAAGAGGAGUGAAGAUGCUCUUUACCCGCGGCUGGACGAAAAGACCCCAUGAAGCUUUACUACAGUUUGAUAUUGGAUUAUGACUUAUCAUGUUCAGUAUAGGUGGGAGCCGCAAGGCACCAAUGAGAUACCACCCUUGAUACGUCGUAAUUCUUGAUCCGUCUUAGUGAAUCCUAAGAGGAGACAGUAUCUGACGGGUAGUUUGACUGGGGCG